rnacentral:rRNA from 1 species
UACGUAGGGUGCAAGCGUUAAUCGGAAUUACUGGGCGUAAAGCGUGCGCAGGCGGCUUUGCAAGACAGAUGUGAAAUCCCCGGGCUUAACCUGGGAACUGCAUUUGUGACUGCAUGGCUAGAGUGCGGCAGAGGGGGAUGGAAUUCCGCGUGUAGCAGUGAAAUGCGUAGAUAUGCGGAGGAACACCGAUGGCGAAGGCAAUCCCCUGGACCUGUACUGACGCUCAUGCACGAAAGCGUGGGGACAAACAGG